GAAAUGCGAUAAGUAAUGUGAAUUGCAGAAUUCAGUGAAUCAUCGAAUCUUUGAACGCACCUUGCGCUCCUUGGCAUUCCGAGGAGCAUGCCUGUUUGAGUGUCGUGUAAUUCUCAAUCUCAACUUUGUUGUUGAUUGGAUUUGGGAGCUUGUCGUGCCUCUUAGAGGUUAAGACUCUCCUUGAAUGUAUUAGCUCGGUCACGUAGUUUGCCCGACGGUUCACGGUGUGAUAGUUUCACUUCAUCGCCGUUCUAACCGUUGGUGCCUGUGUUUUGCCGGCUUCUAAUCUCUGGCCAUUGGUGUCUUUCAUUAGACGUCGACGUGCCUUUAACUUUGACACUUGACCUCAAAUCAGGUAGGAUUACCCGCUGAACUUAA
rnacentral:rRNA from 1 species